AUGGAUGUUAAGACUGCUUUCCUAAAUGGAGAGUUGGACGAGGAAAUUUAUAUGGAACAACCAGAUGGGUUUGUACUAGAUGGUCAGGAAGGAAAAGUGUGCAAGUUGCUGAAGUCUUUAUAUGGACUCAAGCAAGCAUCCAAACAGUGGCAUGAGAAGUUUGAAAGUACUUUAACAGCUGCAGGAUUUGUUGUAAACGAAGCUGACAAAUGUGUGUACUAUCGCCAUGGUGGGGAUGAUGGUGGGAUUACAUUGCUUCAAUCUCACUAUGUGGAAAAGAUCUUGAGUCGCUUUGGAUAUAGUGACUGCAAGCCCUCUCCAACACCAUAUGAUGCUAGCGUGCUGCUUCGAAAGAAUCGAAAAAUUGCUAGAGAUCAAUUGAAAUAUUCUCAGAUUAUUGUCUCGCUUAUGUACUUAGCCAGUGCUACAAGACCUGACAUCUCUUUUGCUGUUAGCAAACUGAGUCGGUUUGUCUCAAAACCAGGAGAUGUGCAUUAG
rnacentral:rRNA from 1 species